rnacentral:lncRNA from 1 species
UCGAGACAGGGCGGGCCUGCCCUGUUCCCCAGAGAGGCAGGCGGGCAGGAGCUGCAGGGGCGGUGGUUGCCACGCUGGACAAAGGCCCAGGAGGCUGGGGAGCAGGGGGCGUGCUCGCUGCGGGCCCCUGGGGACAUCUGAUCCAGGCUGGGGCUGUGUCUGCAUCUGGGUGACCUCAGGGCCAAGUGGCUGUCCGUGAGAAUUCCCAGGUGAGUUUGUUUCUUAAAAGCAUGAAUUAGAGCUGGGGACCAUAGGAGGCAAACGGAGGCAACUUAGAGGGUUCCCACCCUCUGCCAAGAACUUGGGAGCACAUAGGACAUACAAGAUAAGGGCCGUUCUUGGGAGGGCUUUUUUCCUCCCAAAUUAUUUCCCCAAAUAAUUCACUGGGGAAACAGGGGAGAAAGGGAGGCAGAUCAGCCCAGACUUUCCCAGUCUUCCUCCGGCCAAGACCCGGUGAGCAGACCCUCCCGGGACAGCGCCACCUUGUGUGUUUGCAGGUGGCUAGACGACAAGGGGCCCCUGCGCUUCCCUGGAGGGCUGGCCUGCGCCAUCGUUGGGGGCUCCCCCAGCCACUUGCCCUUCUCCUUCAGGAAUCUCAGGGCUUCCAGGGAUCCCUAACACAGCUCCUCCAGGUCCUGCAGGGACAUUUGGAGACAGAAAAGCAGGAGUGGAAGAGAAAGCCGAGCGCAGCGGAGGGAUGCUACAUAAAGACGACGGUGACCGUGGACAGAGGUUUCCCUCCUGUGCCAGGCAUAUCUGUCACCCGGAGCUUCUCACCUAGUUUUGCAAUAACCACAUGGGGUGUGGUGUC